ACCUCAGAAUUAAGCUAAUAUUUUCAAGCUGUGGAAGCUUUCAUAUGCCAGAGUAUUCUGGGUUCAUCACUGGAUUUAAUCUGCAAGAAAUGCAAUAGGCUGGAAUCCUCCUGCUGUGACAGAGCAGCUGGUCCAGAAGAAUUUUAGCAUCCCGAAUUUGAUACCUUGAGGAGGAGAGGUCCCAGCCAACUGGAAGCUGGUGAAAUGUUGUCCUGACUUUCAAGAAGGACAAGAAGGAGG